rnacentral:rRNA from 1 species
UACGGAAGGCAGCAGUGGGGAAUAUUGCACAAUGGGCGCAAGCCUGAUGCAGCCAUGCCGCGUGUAUGAAAAAGGCCCUUCGGGUUGUAAAGUACUUUCAGUCGUGAGGAAGGUGUUAAGGUUAAUAACCUUAGCAAUUGACGUUAGCGACAGAAGAAGCACCGGCUAACUCCGUGCCAGCAGCCGCGGUAAUACGGAGGGUGCGAGCGUUAAUCGGAAUUACUGGGCGUAAAGGGCACGCAGGCGGUUAAUUAAGUUGGAUGUGAAAUCCCCGGGCUUAACCUGGGAAUGGCAUUCAAGACUGGUUAGCUAGAGUCUUGUAGAGGGGGUAGAAUUCCAUGUGUAGCGGUGAAAUGCGUAGAGAUGUGGAGGAAAUACCGGUGGGCGAAGGCGGGCCCCCUGGGACAAAGGACUGACGCUCAUGUGCGAAAGCGUGGGGAGCAAACAGGGAUUAGAU